rnacentral:rRNA from 2 species
GAGUUUGAUCUUGGCUCAGGAUGAACGCUAGCGGCAGGCUUAAUACAUGCAAGUCGUGGGGCAGCAUGACUGUAGCAAUACAGUUGAUGGCGACCGGCAAACGGGUGCGGAACACGUACACAACCUUCCUUUAAGUGGGGAAUAGCCCGGGGGAAACCCGGAUUAAUACCCCGUAAUAUAAUGAAGUGGCAUCACUUUAUUAUUAUAGCUCCGGCGCUUGAAGAUGGGUGUGCGACUGAUUAGGCAGUUGGCGGGGUAAUGGCCCACCAAACCUACGAUCAGUAACUGGUGUGAGAGCACGACCAGUCACACGGGCACUGAGACACGGGCCCGACUCCUACGGGAGGCAGCAGUAAGGAAUAUUGGUCAAUGGAGGCAACUCUGAACCAGCCAUGCCGCGUGCAGGAAGACGGCCCUACGGGUUGUAAACUGCUUUUGCAGGGGAAUAAACCCCCAUUCGUGAAUGGGGCUGAAUGUACUCUGAGAAUAAGGAUCGGCUAACUCCGUGCCAGCCGCG